GGCGAACGCUGGCGGCGUGCUUAACACAUGCAAGUCGAACGGAAAGGCCCUGCUUUUGUGGGGUGCUCGAGUGGCGAACGGGUGAGUAACACGUGAGUAACCUGCCCUUGACUUUGGGAUAACUUCAGGAAACUGGGGCUAAUACCGGAUAGGAGCUCCUGCUGCAUGGUGGGGGUUGGAAAGUUUCGGCGGUUGGGGAUGGACUCGCGGCUUAUCAGCUUGUUGGUGGGGUAGUGGCUUACCAAGGCUUUGACGGGUAGCCGGCCUGAGAGGGUGACCGGCCACACUGGGACUGAGAUACGGCCCAGACUCCUACGGGAGGCAGCAGUGGGGAAUAUUGCACAAUGGGCGGAAGCCUGAUGCAGCAACGCCGCGUGCGGGAUGACGGCCUUCGGGUUGUAAACCGCUUUCGCCUGUGACGAAGCGUGAGUGACGGUAAUGGGUAAAGAAGCACCGGCUAACUACGUG
rnacentral:rRNA from 1 species